rnacentral:rRNA from 1 species
CCUACGGGAGGCAGCAGUGGGGAAUAUUGGGCAAUGGGCGCAAGCCUGACCCAGCAACGCCGCGUGAAGGAAGAAGGCUUUCGGGUUGUAAACUUCUUUUGUCAGGGACGAAGCAAGUGACGGUACCUGACGAAUGAGCCACGGCUAACUACGUGCCAGCAGCCGCGGUAAUACGUAGGUGGCAAGCGUUAUCCGGAUUUACUGGGGGUAAAGGUCGUGUAGGAGGGGAAGCAAGUCAGAUGUGAAAACCACGGGCUCAACCUGUGGCCUGCAUUUGAAACUGGUUUUCUUGAGGGCUGGAGAGGCAAUCGGAAUUCCGUGUGUAGCGGUGAAAUGCGUAGAUAUACGGAGGAACACCAGUGGCGAAGGCGGAUUGCUGGACAGUAACUGACGCUGAGGCGCGAAAGCGUGGGGAGCAAACAGGAUUAGAUACCCCAGUAGUC